rnacentral:lncRNA from 1 species
CCAAGACCGAUUGAUUUAUAUUCUUGAGGGUUUCUACACAGGACUUCUUCCUAAAAUUCAAGUAACAUUUGUAUGAUUUCUGAUGUGCAACAAAAACUAAAUAUGUCGUGUUUGCAUCUGUGUAGGCCUCCAGUGUUUAUGAAUGGAGUCUUGUCCUAUGGAGGUGGGAGAUGGAAAGUUUACACUCAGGAUUACUAAUGAAUGACUGGCAAGCCCUUGUGAGGAAGCUACUAGAGGACAUGUUUAAAGAAAAUGAAAAUAGGAGUUUCAGCAUAGGAGACAAGCAAGGAGCAAUAUCAUGCUACAUUGAGCACCAGGGAAGAGAGAUGGAG